rnacentral:rRNA from 1 species
AUUGAACGCUGGCGGCAGGCCUAACACAUGCAAGUCGAACGAGUGGCGGACGGGUGAGUAAUGUAUGGGAAUCUGCCUGAUGGAGGGGGAUAACUACUGGAAACGGUAGCUAAUACCGCAUACCAUCGGAUGUCCCCAGAUGGGCUUAGCUAGUAGGUGGGGUAAAGGCUCACCUAGGCGACGAUCGCUAGCUGGUCUGAGAGGAUGACCAGCCACACUGGAACUGAGACAAGGUCCAGACCCCUACGGGAGGCAGCAGUGGGGAAUAUUGCACAAUGGGCGCAAGCCUGAUGCAGCCAUGCCGCGUGUAUGAAGAAGGCCUUAGGGUUGUAAAGUACUUUCAGCGGGGAGGCGUUACCCGCAGAAGAAGCACCGGCUAACUCCGUGCCAGCAGCCGCGGUAAUAC